rfam:Gossypium raimondii Chr01_contig_1316, whole genome shotgun sequence.
UGUUAAAAAUUUCAUCCAUUUCUACUGUUAAAAGUUGGUGUGGUUGAGGUAAUAACCAAAACAGCUACACGUGGUAUAUCACGUGUACCUCAUACUAACGUACAAGGACUAGUUUUUAACAAUAAAAAUGGAUAGAAUUUUUAACA